rnacentral:rRNA from 1 species
AUACGGAGGGUGCAAGCGUUAUUCGGAAUCACUGGGCGUGAAGGACGCGUAGGCGGGUUGGCAAGUCAGAUGUGAAAUCCUACAGCUUAACUGUAGAACUGCAUUUGAAACUGCUAACCUAGAGUAUGGGAGGGGGAGAUGGAAUUAGUGGUGUAGGGGUAAAAUCCGUAGAUAUCACUAGGAAUACCGAAAGCGAAGGCGAUUUCCUGGAACAUAACUGACGCUAAGGCGUGAAAGCGUGGGGAGCAAACAGGAUUAGAAACCCUAGUAGUCC